UACGAGGGGAGCUAGCGUUAUUCGGAAUUACUGGGCGUAAAGCGCGCGUAGGCGGUUUUUUAAGUCAGGGGUGAAAGCCCGGAGCUCAACUCCGGAAUAGCCUUUGAAACUGGAAAACUUGAAUCUUGGAGAGGUCAGUGGAAUUCCGAGUGUAGAGGUGAAAUUCGUAGAUAUUCGGAAGAACACCAGUGGCGAAGGCGACUGACUGGACAAGUAUUGACGCUGAGGUGCGAAAGCGUGGGGAGCAAACAGG
rnacentral:rRNA from 1 species